GAUGAACGCUGGCGGCGUGCCUAAUACAUGCAAGUCGAACGCUGGAGAUCUAGCUUGCUAGAUCGAAGGAGUGGCGAACGGGUGAGUAAUACAUAAGCAACCUACCCACGAAGACUGGGAUAAUCUCUGGAAACGGGGACUAAUACCGGAUAGGUAAUCGGAAGGCAUCUUCUGGUUAUUAAAGGUUAAAAACACUGGUGGAUGGGCUUAUGGCGCAUUAGUUAGUUGGUGAGGUAACGGCCCACCAAGACGAUGAUGCGUAGCCGGCCUGAGAGGGUGAACGGCCACAUUGGGACUGAGACACGGCCCAGACUCCUACGGGAGGCAGCAGUAGGGAAUUGUCGGCAAUGGGGGCAACCCUGACCGAGCAACGCCGCGUGAGUGAAGACGGCCUUCGGGUUGUAAAGCUCUGUUGUAAGGGAAGAACGGUAGAUAGAGAAUAUCUAAGUGACGGUACCUUACCAGAAAGCCACGGCUAACUACGUG
rnacentral:rRNA from 1 species